rnacentral:lncRNA from 1 species
GAGGCCGCGAUAGGUGCGGCGGUGGCCAGUGGUAGGAGGGCUACGACACCGCAGCCUAGAGAAAUCAAACUGGUGAUCGGCGAUGACUACCGACAUCGAAAAAUUAAAAAAAAAAGGUGGUAGAAAUAGGGGACAUUUUUCCUAACAAAAUCCGGUGAAUCCGAUUGCCGGCGAUCGUGCACACAGACAAGAAAAGGAAGGGGGAGA